GCCAAAACAUAGCGAUUCAAAUACAUUCACUCAUUGUAAAGAGGCUAAAUGUAAGCUAAAAUCCAAGGGAAAAAAGAUCUCUCUAUUUUGAUGCUACAGCGGUACACAUCAUAGGAGUCACAUUCCCUAGGUGAAGGAGAACUCUACACCAUCUUCAAUCUAAAUACCUUCAGAGAUAAUACUGACAGACAAAUCCAUGGAAAAUCUAGUCUUUCAUCACCGCUCUCAGUCAAACGGAUACCACGUACAAUGCAUGAACACAUAAAGAUAGAGAAUGAUGAUCAAUGUUCCCAGCAUUCCUGGGCAUCAUUGUCGUCAUGCUCCACUGUGAACAUACAGCCAUGCAAUUAAUAACGUCAAACAUGUAUGUCUUAUCUUUUUCACGCCAUGUGUCAGUCAGGUAGCCAUCACAAUGAGGAAUGUUUUACGAUGGGACCUCUGUUUGAUGUACAUCUCAUGC